GAAAUACGGAGCUAACUCCAACCCAUGUGAACGUUACCAAACUGUUGCCUCGGCGGGAUCUCUGCCCCGGGGGCGGGGCAGCCCCGGACCAAGGCGCCCGCCGGAGGACCAACCAAAACUCUUUUUGUAUACCCCCUCGCGGGUUUUUUAUAAUCUGAGCCUUCUCGGCGCCUCUCGUAGGCGUUUUGAAAAUGAAUCAAAACUUUCAACAACGGAUCUCUUGGUUCUGGCAUCGAUGAAGAACGCAGCGAAAUGCGAUAAGUAAUGUGAAUUGCAGAAUUCAGUGAAUCAUCGAAUCUUUGAACGCACAUUGCGCCCGCCAGUAUUCUGGCGGGCAUGCCUGUCCGAGCGUCAUUUCAACCCUCGAACCCCUCCGGGGGGUCGGCGUUGGGGAUCGGCCCUGCCUCUUUUUUUGUGUUCGUCUCCGAAAUACAGUGGCGGUCUCGCCGCAGCCUCUCCUGCGCAGUAGUUUGCACACUCGCAUCGGGAGCGCGGCGCGUCCACAGCCGUUAAACACCCAACUUCUGAAAUGUUGACCUCGGAUCAGGUAGGAAUACCCGCUGAACUUAAGCAUAUCAAUAAGCGGGAGGAACAUUU
rnacentral:rRNA from 1 species